GUGCUUGCUUAGGCAGCACAUACACUAAAAAAAUUAGAAUGAAUCAGAGAAGAUUAGCAUGGACCCUGAUCAAGGAUGACAUGCAAAUUUGUGAAACGUUCCUUAUAUAU